UAAUACAGAGGUUGCAAGCGUUGUUCGGAUUCAUUGGGCGUAAAGGGUGUGUAGGUGGUCAUGUUAGUCAGAUGUGAAAUACCGAGGCUUAACCUCGGAACUGCAUUUGAUACUGCAAGACUAGAGUAUGUCAGGGGAAAGGGGAAUUCCAGGUGUAAGGGUGAAAUCUGCAGAUAUCUGGAGGAACACCAGUGGCGAAGGCGCCUUUCUGGGACAAUACUGACACUGAAACACGAAAGCUAGGGUAGCAAACGGGAUUAGAUACCCCGGUAGUCCUAGCCGUAAACGAUGGGUACUAGGCGUUGGAAGGGUCAUACCUUUCAGUGCCGCAGCUAACGCAUUAAGUACCCCGCCUGGGGAGUACGGUCGCAAGACUG
rnacentral:rRNA from 1 species